CCUCUUGAAAAGCUUUUUCUUCAUGUAGUCUGAAUUUUCAUCCAUCUCUAGUCAGAUUGGUAUGUCAUAUAUACCUCUAGAUAUUAUUCUUUGUACAAUAUGCCAAUUACCUCAAUACUUCGGAUCCUUCAAAUAUAUUAUUUAUUUCGCUUAAGUUGCUAAUAUAUACGACUCAUUCUGGUACCAUGUUUGUGCAAAAUUUAUACUAGUAAAGUAACCCUAUC
rnacentral:lncRNA from 1 species